GACGAACGCUGGCGGCGUGCUUAACACAUGCAAGUCGAACGGUAAGGCCCUUCGGGUACGACGAGUGGCGAACGGGUGAGUAACACGUGGUGAUCUGCCCUGCACUUCGGGAGUAAGCCUGGGAAACUGGGUCUAAUACCGGAUAGGACCAUGGACUUCACGGUUUGUGGUGGAAAGCUUUUGCGGUGUGGGAUGGGCCCGCGGCCUAUCAGCUUGUUGGUGGGGUAAAUGGCCUACCCAAGGCGACGACGGGUAGCCGGCCUGAGAGGGUGUCCGGCCACACUGGGACUGAGAUACGGCCCAGACUCCUACGGGAGGCAGCAGUGGGGAAUAUUGCACAAUGGGCGCAAGCCUGAUGCAGCGACGCCGCGUUGAGGGAUGACGGCCUUCGGGUUGUAAACUCUUCAAUAGGACGAAGCGCAAGUAGACGGUACCUAUAGAAGAAGCACCGGCCAACUAACGUGCCAGCA
rnacentral:rRNA from 1 species